GGGAAACCGGAACGAGCCUUCGGGCAGCGUAGACAGGUGCUGCAUGGCUGUCGUCAGCUCGUGUCGUGAGAUGUUGGGUUAAGUCCCGCAACGAGCGCAACCCGUGUUGCUAGUUACAAGUGUCUAGCGAGACUGCCGGUAACAGGCCGGAGGAAGGUGCGGAUGAUGUCAAGUCAGCAUGGCCUAUAUGUCCAGGGCUACACACACGCUACAAUGGCUGGUACAAAGAGAAGCGAAAGGGAGACCUGAAGCGAAUCUCAUCAAAGCCAGUCAUAGUUCGGAUUGCAGGCUGCAACUCGCCUGCAUGAAGUCGGAGUUGCUAGUAACCGCAGGUCAGCAAUACUGCGGUGAAUACGUUCCCGGGCCUUGUACACAC
rnacentral:rRNA from 1 species